AUUGAACGCUGGCGGCAUGCUUUACACAUGCAAGUCGAACGGUAACAGGUUAAGCUGACGAGUGGCGAACGGGUGAGUAAUGCAUCGGAACGUGCCCGAUCGUGGGGAUAACGCAGCGAAAGCUGCGCUAAUACCGCAUACGAUCUGAGGAUGAAAGCGGGGGACCGUAAGGCCUCGCGCGAUCGGAGCGGCCGAUGUCAGAUUAGGUAGUUGGUGGGGGAAAGGCCCACCAAGCCGACGAUCUGUAGCUGGUCUGAGAGGACGACCAGCCACACUGGGACUGAGACACGGCCCAGACUCCUACGGGAGGCAGCAGUGGGGAAUUUUGGACAAUGGGCGAAAGCCUGAUCCAGCAAUGCCGCGUGCAGGAAGAAGGCCUUCGGGUUGUAAACUGCUUUUGUACGGAGCGAAAAGGUCCUUUCUAAUACAAGGGGCUCAUGACGGUACCGUAAGAAUAAGCACCGGCUAACUACGUGCCAGCCGCCGCGGUAA
rnacentral:rRNA from 1 species